UAUAUUUUUUUUGUUUGGGUCUAGUUUUGAAUAUUUUGGAUCUAUACUAACUUGUUUAUCAUAAACCCUAAACCCUUCCAUCUAAUUCCAAACCCUGCACUUGCGUUUUCCAAUCUGUUGUUCAAUGGCACGCUUCCUCCGUUCCCUCAGAAAAACCCUAACCCUAAACCCCCAAAUUCACAUUCAACAACAACGACUAUGCAUUUCUCCUCCUCCUCACAUCAUUUCCCGAAGAACUUACAUCUCCGAAAUGCGCAAAGAAGCUUUCGAAGGAAACAUUUCCAGACUCCUCCGUAACGAAAUCCAAUACGAGAUUCAGUCCUCUUCUUCUUCCAAACCCCCUACCAACAAAUUUGGUUCCUUUUUGGUGGAUGCCCGACCCGGUGAGCGAUGGAUUACAUUGAAUAGACAAUUUGCCGAUGAAAAUAUUAAAGUUGAAGUCACUAUGUUUGAUGGAGCUGCUCCUGCUCCGAAAGCAAGUGGAGGUGUGGCUAAUGCAGAUGAAGUGCAGCUACAUAUUACCUUAAUUGUAAAUAUCUCUAAGGGAGAUGGCGGAGUGCUGGAAAUCAUGUGCUCUGCUUGGCCAGACAGUAUAGAGAUAAAAAGACUGUUUGUACGCGCUGACAAAAAUACGCCAGCUGAGCCCUAUGCUGGUCCUGACUUCGAGGAAUUGGAUGAUGAGUUGCAGGAUGGGCUUUAUGAUUUCUUGGAUGCAAGGGGUAUAGAUAAUAAACUCGCCACUUACUUGCAUCAGUACAUGAAACACAAGGAUAAAACAGAGCUAAUAGGAUGGAUGGAGAAGGUUAAAUCUUUUAUUGAAAGGAAAUAAGUGCAUUGAGAUUUAUAAAUGUUCUAGACUUGUAGCAGCCAGAAGCCGAAUAAGGGCUGCAAUAAUUUUGAGCUUGUUUCAAAUUAAUGGCUGAACAGGACAAGACUCCGGUGUUUUACCUCUGUAACAAACUCAAAUUGCAUAUGGAUCUUAAGUGAUUAAAAUUUUGAUGUGAUUCAUUUCACCUACAUGCACACAUCAAAUAAUUUUUCCUUGAAAUAUAAUUUAUUAACUUUUUCCUCCAUGAACUUCUUCAAAUAAUCUCAGUUAUGAACUAUUCUUUCUUAUCUCCAUCCCUUCUUUUGAGAUUCUUUCACAAUUUCCUUUAAUUAUUUUUAAAAUUUCUCAUAAUACCUUGAAUAUUAUGCGGCAUACACCACAUUUUCAUUCACACCCUCCAUUAUUAAAAAAAACUAUCAACUCAUGUCUCUUUUUGACAAUCUUCUGACGACAACCAACUACCCCUUUACUAACCACCAUCACUGAGACAAAUAACCCUAAUCUAGUGACUAUCAUUCUUUGUCCUUGUCUUCCAUGUGUCCUUUUUAUUUUUGUAAAUAUUUUUUAUACAUUGAGAAACCAAAUCAUAUUUUUUUAAUGUAUACAAUUCAGAUGCAAUUGUAUAGAAGAUGGUAGAAAAUAUGUAGACAAAAGACUCUAAAUUAUGCGAUAAAAAGAAUAGAUUAAAUGGAGAUAAGUCAAACAAUUAAAGAAAUAAUUAGAGGUAGAGAAAUUUGAAAAAGU